CGCACAUUGCGCCCCUUGGUAUUCCAUUGGGCAUGCCUGUUCGAGCGUCAUUUACACCUUCAAGCGUAGCUUGGUGUUGGGCGUUUGUCCCUGCCUUUGCGCGGGACUCGCCUCAAAGACAUUGGCAGCAGCUUCGCCGGCUUCUUGCGCAGCACUUUGCGCUUGCAGAAGCGAUUUGGCAGGCUUGCGUCCCACAAGAUUCCCUUUGUUUGACCUCGAAUCAGGUAGGGAUACCCGCUGAACUUAA
rnacentral:misc_RNA from 1 species